CUGAGUAUUGAGGGAACGAAUGACUGUACUCAGGUACUACUAUAAAAAAAAGGAGCCAUGGAAAAGAGAAAUGGGCUUACUUUCUGAAAAUUCAAAAGAAGAUUCACUUUGUUCCAACAAUGACAUCAGUAAAAUGCCAUAUAAGAAUAAGAUACAAGAAGAAGCAUCACAUAAGAUGCAGGAGAAUUGAACUGAG